rnacentral:rRNA from 1 species
UACGUAGGGUGCAAGCGUUAAUCGGAAUUACUGGGCGUAAAGCGUGCGCAGGCGGUUAUGCAAGACAGAUGUGAAAUCCCCGGGCUCAACCUGGGAACUGCAUUUGUGACUGCAUGGCUAGAGUACGGUAGAGGGGGAUGGAAUUCCGCGUGUAGCAGUGAAAUGCGUGGAUAUGCGGGGGAACACCGAUGGCGAAGGCAAUCCCCUGGACCUGUACUGACGCUCAUGCACGAAAGCGUGGGGAGCAAACAGG